rnacentral:lncRNA from 1 species
GAAAAGAAAAGAAACACAUCCCAGUGUUACUGACCCAACAGCAGACUGAUGCACUUGUCCUGCACCCCCUUGCCGAGGUAAAUCCUCCCAGGGCCUCAGCCUCCUCACAUCCGAAGUUGGGAGAACAAUGGUGCCUCCGCCCCAGGACGGGCUCAAGGUUGAGAUGACUCAGCGCAGGGGAAUUCUCUGCACACCCUGUCCUCUGUGAAUGCUGCUCUUGUUCCUGACUUCCAGGACCAGGCGAAGGUGGCCCAGCUCCCUCCCCGCAGCCUGUUCCAUGGCCCACGGUGCUGGGCGUGAGACUGCUCCCUGGUUCUGUGGGCUGGGCCCUCCCUCUGGGCAGGUUCUGUGGUGGGAGAGACAACAGGCUCGCUUUGUAACUCCAGCUGCCAGGUGCACACCCACUGUGUCCUCCAGCCCAGGCGCUUCCUGAAACUCCCCCUUGGUGCUCUGCAGCUUGUUUGCAAAGGUGCUACUUCGCCUGCUGAAAUAAAGUGUCC